UACGGAGGGGGCUAGCGUUGUUCGGAAUUACUGGGCGUAAAGCGCGCGUAGGCGGACCUGCAAGUCGGGGGUGAAAGCCCGAGGCUCAACCUCGGAACUGCCUUCGAUACUGAAAGGCUUGAAUCCGGGAGAGGGAUGUGGAAUUCCAGGUGUAGCGGUGAAAUGCGUAGAUAUCUGGAGGAACACCGGUGGCGAAGGCGGCAUCCUGGACCGGCAUUGACGCUGAGGCGCGAAAGCUAGGGGAGCAAACGGG
rnacentral:rRNA from 1 species